rnacentral:rRNA from 1 species
UAGCCUUGACAUUGAAGAAACACACUAGAGAUAGAGUGGUGCCCUUCGGGGAAUCUGAAAACAGGUGCUGCACGGCUGUCGUCAGCUCGUGUCGUGAGAUGUUGGGUUAAGUCCCGCAACGAGCGCAACCCUCGUCCUUAGUUGCCAGCAGGUUAAGCUGGGCACUCUAAGGAGACUGCCUUCGUAAGGAGGAGGAAGGUGAGGACGACGUCAAGUCAUCAUGGCCCUUACGGCCAGGGCUACACACGUGCUACAAUGGGGUAUACAAAGAGCUGCAAUAUCGCGAGGUGGAGCAAAUCUUAAAAAUAUCUCCCAGUUCGGAUAGCAGUCUGCAACUCGACUGCUUGAAGUUGGAAUCGCUAGUAAUCGUAGAUCAGCAAUGCUACGGUGAAUACGUUCCCGGGUCU